GUGGAGCGGUAUACGGCUCAGUAACGGGCGAUUUAUUUGUUCUCCUGGGACGGACAACAUCGGGAAACUGAUGGGAAAACGUCUAAGUUGCAGUUAAUUGACUGUGACGUAAACCUUUGUGUGCAGGAGAGUAAGAUGCCAUCCUAUCAGUUAGUAAGUAGGGUAAGGGCCUACUUAGACGAAGACGGGUACGGGGAAUGAGGGUUUGAUUCCGGAGAGGGAGCCUGAGAGAUGGCUACCAGGACCAAGGUCAGCAGCAGGCGCGAAAAUUAUCGAAGCCCGCCUAGGGGCGAUAGUGAGGAGACGUGUAUAACGAAGUACGUGUAAAGAACGUGCUAAUAACUGGAGGUCAAGUCUGGUGCCAGCAUCCGCGGUAAUUCCAGCUCCAGGGGUGUCUAUGAUGAUUGCUGCGAUUAAAAAGUCCGUAGUCAAUCUGACUGACUGACCUGCAAUGUGAUUGAUUAAAGAACGAGCAGGGUUAGGAAAGCAGAGAAUUAGGAGCGACCGAGGGCUAGAGUAUUGAAUGGCGAGAGGUGAAAUUUGAUGACCCAUUCAGGAGUGACAAAGGCGAAGGCACUAGUCAAGGGCGAAUCCGAUGAUCAAGGACGUAGGCUAGAGUUUCGAAAACGAUUAGAGACCGGAGUAGUUCUAGCAGUAAACUAUGCCGACGCCGUGGUAUCAAUAAUGGUAUUGCGGAAGAGAAAUCAAGUAAGGCUUUGGGGAGAGUACGCGCGCAAGCGAUAAAUUUAAAGGAAAUUGACGGAGGAACACCACAAGGAGUGGAGUGUGCGGCUUAAUUUGACUCAACGCGGGACAGCUUACCAA
rnacentral:rRNA from 1 species